rnacentral:rRNA from 1 species
UAGCCCAUCACCGAAGCCUGUGGUUGUUUGACCUCUAGGCAAUGUGGUGUUUAGGUUGGUUCCUGGCAUAACUGCUCUGCCCCAAGUCCAGCAAUGAGUACGGCUUACCGUUCUGGCCCAUAGAGGGUGAAAGGCCCGUGGGGGUAGAGAUCAAGCAUGACAGUUUUGCUCAGUGCUAACCU